rnacentral:rRNA from 1 species
GUGGGGAAUCUUGCGCAAUGGGCGAAAGCCUGACGCAGCCAUGCCGCGUGAAUGAUGAAGGUCUUAGGAUUGUAAAAUUCUUUCACCGGGGACGAUAAUGACGGUACCCGGAGAAGAAGCCCCGGCUAACUUCGUGCCAGCAGCCGCGGUAAUACGAAGGGGGCUAGCGUUGCUCGGAAUUACUGGGCGUAAAGGGCGCGUAGGCGGACAGUUUAGUCAGAGGUGAAAGCCCAGGGCUCAACCUUGGAAUUGCCUUUGAUACUGGCUGUCUUGAGUACGGGAGAGGUGAGUGGAACUCCGAGUGUAGAGGUGAAAUUCGUAGAUAUUCGGAAGAACACCAGUGGCGAAGGCGACUCACUGGCCCGUUACUGACGCUGAGGCGCGAAAGCGUGGGGAGCAAACAGGAUUAGAUACCUUUGUAGUCC